rnacentral:rRNA from 1 species
AGAUUGAACGCUGGCGGCAGGCCUAACACGUGCAAGUCGAGCGGCAGCACGGGUACUUGUACCUGGUGGCGAGCGGCGGACGGGUGAGUAAUGCCUAGGAAUCUGCCUGGUAGUGGGGGGAUAGCGCUCGGAAACGGACGCUAAUACCGCAUACGUCCUACGGGAGAAAGCAGGGGACCUUCGGGCCUUGCGCUAUCAGAUGAGCCUAGGUCGGAUUAGCUAGUUGGUGAGGUAAUGGCUCACCAAGGCGACGAUCCGUAACUGGUCUGAGAGGAUGAUCAGUCACACUGAACUGAGACACGGUCCAGACUCCUACGGGAGCAGCAGGUGGGGAAUAUUGGACAAGU